rnacentral:rRNA from 1 species
ACAUGCAAGUCNACGGCAGCACGGGAGCAAUCCUGGUGGCGAGUGGCGAACGGGUGAGUAAUAUAUCGGAACGUGCCCAGUCGUGGGGGAUAACGCAGCGAAAGCUGUGCUAAUACCGCAUACGAUCUAUGGAUGAAAGCGGGGGAUCGAAAGACCUCGCGCGAUUGGAGCGGCCGAUAUCAGAUUAGGUUGUUGGUGGGGUAAAAGCCCACCAAGCCGACGAUCUGUAGCUGGUCUGAGAGGACGACCAGCCACACUGGAACUGAGACACGGUCCAGACUCCUACGGGAGGCAGCAGUGGGGAAUUUUGGACAAUGGGCGCAAGCCUGAUCCAGCAAUGCCGCGUGCAGGAUGAAGGCCUUCGGGUUGUAAACUGCUUUUGUACGGAACGAAACGGCCUACUCCAAUACAGUGGGCUAAUGACGGUACCGUAAGAAUAAGCACCGGCUAACUACGUGCCAGCAGCCGCGGUAAUACGUAGGGUGCGAGCGUUAAUCGGAAUUACUGGGCGUAAAGCGUGCGCAGGCGGUUAUAUAAGACAGAUGUGAAAUCCCCGGGCUCAACCUGGGACCUGCAUUUGUGACUGUAUAGCUAGAGUGCGGCAGAGGGGGAUGGAAUUCCGCGUGUAGCAGUGAAAUGCGUAGAUAUGCGGAGGAACACCGAUGGCGAAGCAAUCCCCUGGGCCUGCACUGACGCUCAUGCACGAAAGCGUGGGGAGCAAACAGGAUUAGAUACCCUGGUAGUCCACGCCCUAACGAUGUCAACUGGUUGUUGGGUCUUCACUGACUCAGUAACGAAGCUACGCGUGAAGUUGAC